rnacentral:tRNA from 1 species
GCAUCGGUGGUUCAGUGGUAGAAUUCUCGCCUGCCACGCGGGAGGCCCGGGUUCGAUUCACGGCCGAUGCA